CUGCUGCCUCCCGUAGGAGUCUGGGCCGUGUCUCAGUCCCAGUGUGGCCGUCCACCCUCUCAGGCCGGCUGCUGAUCGUCGCUUUGGUGGGCCGUUACCCCGCCAACUGGCUAAUCAGACGCGGGCCCAUCCUGUACCACCGGAGUUUUCAAAGGAUUACCAUGCGGUAUUCCCUAUUAUGCGGUAUUAGCACCUAUUUCUAAGUGUUAUCCCCGGUACCAGGGCNGGUUAAAGCCCACGCGUUACUCACCCGUCCGCCACUAAGACAG
rnacentral:rRNA from 1 species